rnacentral:rRNA from 1 species
CCUACGGGAGGCAGCAGUGAGGAAUAUUGGUCAAUGGCCGAGAGGCUGAACCAGCCAAGUCGCGUGAGGGAAGACGGCCCUACGGGUUGUAAACCUCUUUUGUCGGGGAGCAAAGCGAACCACGUGUGGUUCAUUGAGAGUACCCGAAGAAAAAGCAUCGGCUAACUACGUGCCAGCAGCCGCGGUAAUACGUAGGGAGCGAGCGUUGUCCGGAAUUACUGGGUGUAAAGGGAGCGUAGGCGGGGAUGCAAGUUGGGUGUCAAAACUACCGGCUCAACUGGUAGUCGCACUCAAAACUGCAGCUCUUGAGUGAAGUAGAGGCAGGCGGAAUUCCUAGUGUAGCGGUGAAAUGCGUAGAUAUUAGGAGGAACACCAGUGGCGAAGGCGGCCUGCUGGGCUUUUACUGACGCUGAGGCUCGAAAGUGUGGGGAGCAAACAGGAUUAGAUACCCUGGUAGUC